rnacentral:rRNA from 1 species
UACGUAGGGUCCGAGCGUUGUCCGGAAUUAUUGGGCGUAAAGGGCUCGUAGGCGGUCCGUCACGUCGGGAGUGAAAACUCAGGGCUCAACCCUGAGCGUGCUUCCGAUACGGGCGGACUAGAGGUAUGCAGGGGAGAACGGAAUUCCUGGUGUAGCGGUGAAAUGCGCAGAUAUCAGGAAGAACACCAAUGGCGAAGGCAGCUCUCUGGGACGGUACUGACGCUGAGACGCGAAAGCGUGGGGAGCGAACAGG